CUGGGUUGUCUUUGGUUUUCUUUCCUUUCUGCCUUAUAUCCUUGUUGGACCUCUGCUUCAGGGACAUAUUCCCAGAGGUGGGUGAAUGGUACUUUAGGGGAGAAAGUACAAACUGAGAAAAGCCCAGGAAGAGCUCUGUGCUAGUUAACGGUUAAACAACACUUAUGUACUGGACAGCGUGCUAAGUUCUCUUUGCAUUUUUUUCACAGCCUUAUGAGACAAGAAUUAUUCUCCUUCUCAUUUGUAUCCUGAGGAUGGGACACCUAGUUAUGGAGAAACCGAACUCUUUGUCCAUGCCUAUCCAGCCAUCAAGGAGGGGAGCUAGGAAUGGAACCCAGCUGUGGGGUCUGCUCCAAAGUUGAGGCUUUAGCUGCCAUGAAACCCCCUUCAGAGGCAAGCUCCUUCCCGCCCCCUGCAGAAGCAAGCCACUCAGUGACUUAUACAGUGGGGUGUGAGAUGGUACAACUCUCUGCCUCUGCCAGAGAUCGUAAUGAAAAGGUAUGCACCAGGAAUUGUGCCAAAAUGAGCCACCGGCAUCAUCUCAGUUAAUCCUCCACCAUUCCUGUGGUAGACGCCAUUGCCUCCACUUAACAGAUGAGAAAACCGAGAAUAGGAGAGAUUUGGUAACUUGCUCAAGAUUAUCCCGACAUGGGACAAGAGCAGAGGUGGUGUGACUUGAAAGCUGAUUCUUUUCACCUUCAUGAUGCCCCAAAUUUUGCUGCAGGCUGACUUUUCUGUUAAACAAACAAACAAGCAAACAAAAAUCGAUAGUAACUUCUGGGCAAGCCUCGACAGACCAGAGACAUGGAGUUGGAGAGGCAGAAAUGUUCUGGGCUGGGCUAGUGCACAAUGAAAAUAUGGGCCCUUCUCUGAGGUCAGAUCUAAGGAUUAAAUCUCUCCUCCUAUAAAUAAAUGUGUUGUAUGGGCACGAUGGAAUAUUUUCAGUCAUAAAAAAAUGAAAUGCUAUCCUCUGGGGCAAGGUGGGUGGAACUGGAGGACUUCAUGUUAAGUGAAAGGAGUCAGGUGCAGAAUGGCAAAUACCACGCGACCCCACUGAUUUGCAGAGGGUAAAAAGUAGAUCUCAAGGAAUCAGAGAGUUAGAAUAGUGGUCACUGGGGACUAGGAAGGGUAGAGGGGAGGGAAGAUAGGGGAUGCCAGAUAACAGGGGCCAAAAUAGUUAGAGAGGAACAACAGGUCCUACUGUCCUCUAGCACAGCAGGAUAAAUGGCGUCUACAGCAAUUUAUGAAAAAUUUCAAACUGACUGAAGUUUUCAACGCAUAAAAAUGAUAAAUGUUUUAGGAAAUGGAAAUGCUAAUUAUCCAGAUUUGAUCAUUAUGCAUUGUAUAUAUGCAUUAAAUUAUCACACUGUACUCCAUAAAUACAUACAAAUAUUAUGUGUCUAUUAAAAGAAAAAUCUCCCUCUUAACCCCUCCUUGGGAAUCUCAAGUGAGCUUAUAUCAGGCUUCUGCCACAGUUCUUCCAAGAAGAGGAUGGGAGGCUUGACCAAAGUCUUAUCUUUAAGGAUUGGGAAGGUUACUGGUCCCAGUAACCAGCUGUCAUCUAUCUCUGAGAGAGAAACAGCAAAUAUAGACUCUGACGACAGCAUGAGAGAUGCCAGUUAGCUCUACUGAAGUAGCUCGUUAAACACCCGACUGGUUUCAUCUGGACAGAUCAAAUUUUAAGUCCUGCCACUUCCUGGCUUUGACCUUGAGCAAGCUACUUAUUUAUUUAAGCUUCCAUCUGUUUAUCUGUAAAAUGGGGAUUUU